UACAAGUAUCAGACGAACUGUGUUACUGGACGAGUGGAACGCAGCUGACCAGAUCUUACAUCAUUUCUUCGUGUACAGCGCCCACUGCAACAAUGACUGAAAUAAGGAAGGACUUACCAAAACACCAUGUUUAAUAGUUUUGGGGAAUCCAGGCUGUGUGCAAGCAGAUACAUGCUGUCUAUUGAUGGUGUUAUUGUCAACGAGGACAUUGCCACAUUUGCUGCUGGUCUUGCUAUGCUGUUUGCAAGCUACUACAACUUGAACAUCAUGUACCCUGCAGAAUGUGCAUCUACACUGAAAUCAUUCAAAGAUAAAUUCUUACUUAACUUAAUGUUAGCUUAUCAAAAAUCUUAUCCAAUUGAUAGCCUGACUGCCCCAUUCCAAAUCCUUAUUUACUUCUCUCUUGCCUCUAUCAUUGAAAUUCAAG